rnacentral:rRNA from 1 species
UACGUAGGCAGCGAGCGUUGUUCGGAGUUACUGGGCGUAAAGGGUGCGUAGGCGGUUGUUUAAGUUUGGCGUGAAAUCUCCCGGCUCAACCCGGAAACUGCCAUUGAUACUAAUGGUCUUGAAUUUUGUUGAGGUAGGCGGAAUAAGUCAUGUAGCGGUGAAAUGCAUAGAUAUGACUUAGAACACCAAUUGCGAAGGCAGCUUGCUAAACAAAUAUUGACGCUGAGGCACGAAAGCGUGGGGAUCAAACAGG